CCCUGCAGGUUCUUCCGCCUUCCGGGUGCUCGACACCGAGUUCUGAUGUUGAGCAGCGCCCGGACUGCUGCUGCGCCCCCCAGGACCCCCCAGAUUUGGGGCUGGGGUCCCCCCAAAAAACUCCACGACGUCGGGGACGCCCCAAAACUCCUCGUGGGGGGGGGUCCUUGGACUGCAGACCCCCCCCAAAUCCCCCCUCCCCCACCUGAGGAACUGCUGCUGGAUUUUGGGGAGGGGGUUCACGUGGGACCCCCAUUCUGGGGGGGUCUGGGGGGGAUUUGGGGUCCCCCCCGUUUUUUGGGGUCCCCUCCCCAUUUUUGGGGUCCCCCCCAUUUUUUGGGGGGGGUCUCCCCCCCCGGUUUACGUCGAGUUUUAUUUUUUCAAGGCAAUAUUAUAAAUCAGAGUCUA